AACAGGAUUAGAUACCCUGGUAGUCCACGCCGUAAACGAUGUCGACUUGGAGGUUGUUCCCUUGAGGAGUGGCUUCCGGAGCUAACGCGUUAAGUCGACCGCCUGGGGAGUACGGCCGCAAGGUUAAAACUCAAAUGAAUUGACGGGGGCCCGCACAAGCGGUGGAGCAUGUGGUUUAAUUCGAUGCAACGCGAAGAACCUUACCUACUCUUGACAUCCACGGAAUUCGGCAGAGAUGCCUUAGUGCCUUCGGGAACCGUGAGACAGGUGCUGCAUGGCUGUCGUCAGCUCGUGUUGUGAAAUGUUGGGUUAAGUCCCGCAACGAGCGCAACCCUUAUCCUUUGUUGCCAGCGAUUCGGUCGGGAACUCAAAGGAGACUGCCGGUGAUAAACCGGAGGAAGGUGGGGAUGACGUCAAGUCAUCAUGGCCCUUACGAGUAGGGCUACACACGUGCUACAAUGGCGCAUACAAAGAGAAGCGACCUCGCGAGAGCAAGCGGACCUCAUAAAGUGCGUCGUAGUCCGGAUCGCAGUCUGCAACUCGACUGCGUGAAGUCGGAAUCGCUAGUAAUCGCGAAUCAGAAUGUCGCGGUGAAUACGUUCCCGGGUCUUGUACACACCGCCCGUCACACCAUGGGAGUGGGUUGCACCAGAAGUAGCUAGUCUAACCUUCGGGAGGACGGUUACCACGGUGUGAUUCUAUGACUGGGGUGAAGUCGUAACAAGGUAACC
rnacentral:rRNA from 1 species